rnacentral:misc_RNA from 1 species
GAUGAAGAACGCAGCGAAAUGCGAUAAGUAAUGUGAAUUGCAGAAUUCAGUGAAUCAUCGAAUCUUUGAACGCAUCUUGCGCUCCUUGGUAUUCUGAGGAGCAUGCCUGUUUGAGUGUCAUUAUAACCCCUCAAGCUCAGCUUGGUGUUGGGGCCUGCUGCACUGGCAGCCCUUAAAAUCAGUGGCGGCGCCAUCUGGCUCUAAGCGUAGUAAUUCUUCUCGCUAUGGAGUCCUGGUGGAUGCUUGCCAUCAACCCCCAAUUUUUCUAUGGUUGACCUCGGAUCAGGUAGGGAUACCCGCUGAACUUAAGCAUAUCAAUAAGCGGAGGA